rnacentral:tRNA from 1 species
UGGCUCAGUUAGUAGAGCAGGACACUUGCAACGUCGAUAAUUUGUGGGUUCGAUUCCCAC